GCAAAAGUGUGGCAUAGAGGUUUGAGCAUUACACUAUGACUCUGGAGACCAGAGUUCGAUUCCCUGCUUGGCC